rnacentral:rRNA from 1 species
UACGUAGGGUGCAAGCGUUAAUCGGAAUUACUGGGCGUAAAGCGUGCGCAGGCGGUUUUGUAAGUCUGUCGUGAAAUCCCCGGGCUCAACCUGGGAAUGGCGAUGGAGACUGCAAGGCUAGAGUUUGGCAGAGGGGGGUAGAAUUCCACGUGUAGCAGUGAAAUGCGUAGAGAUGUGGAGGAACACCGAUGGCGAAGGCAGCCCCCCUGGGUCAAAACUGACGCUCAUGCACGAAAGCGUGGGGAGCGAACAGG